GCCUUGCCUCCACUGCACAGCCUACUGGCACAUGUUGGUGACCAUAUUUCAUGUCACAUUACACAAGGAGGAUAAUGUUUCCCAUGAACAAUUUAGGUGCCUUGCUAAAACCACCCAGCUGCUAGAGGUUUGCACUCCUCCAUCUCUGAGAUAAUGGAAGCAAUGGGCAAUACCUGGUCUCAUCUCCUUCCCUAUGACUGACUGCAGUAACACAUUCCCACUUUUUCAAAUACCACUACUCAGCACAAAUGGCUACUCAAGCUGUAUUUCCUUAAAAAGGUGGGAGUUGGGGAAGCAUUGGCUAUUUGGAGACUUGCAGGCAAAAUAUGUUUUUUUAAGAAAGAAGAUACCAACAGAUGGAUUUCAUGAAGGAAAAACACAGAGCAAAAUGCCAUAGCCAGUCCAAAUGGUUACAGCGAAGAAGAAAUGUGAAACUGAAACCCAACUUGUUAACUGUAUCUUGGCAGUGUGCAGUUGCAGGUAAUAGCUGUCUUUCCAGUCCAAAUUCAUGCACUUCCCAGCCCAUGAAAUGGAAAGUUGAGAACAUAAUCAUCCUGGCUGGCAGGCAGAGCUGGUGGACGGCAGCUUUGAGCUACUUGGAAACUACAAAAGAGACUCAGUCUUUAGAACAAGAAGGUGCUGGUCAGCCUCUUCCUUGGUGACCCUCCAAAGCACCUCAUAAAUGAGGAUGUUUCCUUUCACUCACUGUGCACAACAACAGAAGUGGUGGUAUGGCCUCAUCAACAACCAAGACAACAAAACAUCUUUUAAGUUGUUACUGUUUUAAGGACAAGGAGAAGGUGAUAACCCACAUCUACCUGCAGCACCAUGUAAGAGCACGGUGAGUGUUUCUUCCCCACUUGGAAAAAGUAGGUAGAUGUGGAGAAAGGUUCACAGAAGUUCUUACCCUCCAUUCUCCCCUGAAUUUUCUAGAAUUCAUGGCCGCUGGCUGAAGACAGUUUUGAGUUUUCACUUACCUGGCACAUGCAGGUGAGAAGUUGGUCUGCUAUAAAGUGAGAGAGUUAAAGGCAAGAAUGGACCACUAUAACCACCUUUUCUAAUCUGCAGUGCAUUUUAUUU